GUGUCAGCCGCCGCGGUAAGACGAACCGUGCGAACGUUGUUCGGAAUCACUGGGCUUAAAGGGCGCGUAGGCGGGCGAGCAAGUCCGGGGUGAAAGCCUCCGGCUUAACCGGAGAAGGGCCUUGGAUACUGCUCGUCUUGAGGGAGGUAGGGGCUUGUGGAACUUCCGGUGGAGCGGUGAAAUGCGUUGAUAUCGGAAGGAACGCCGGUGGCGAAAGCGACAAGCUGGCCCUCUUCUGACGCUGAGGCGCGAAAGCUAGGGGAGCAAACGGGAUUAGAAACCCCGGUAGUCC
rnacentral:rRNA from 1 species